rnacentral:rRNA from 1 species
UACGAAGGAUGCAAGCGUUAUCCGGAUUUAUUGGGUUUAAAGGGUGCGUAGGCGGACUUAUAAGUCAGUGGUGAAAGACGGUAGCUUAACUAUCGCAGUGCCUUUGAUACUGCAGGGCUUGAAUGUACUUGAGGUAGGCGGAAUGUGACAAGUAGCGGUGAAAUGCAUAGAUAUGUCACAGAACACCAAUUGCGAAGGCAGCUUACUAAAGUAUGAUUGACGCUGAGGCACGAAAGCGUGGGGAUCAAACAGG